GAUGAACGCUGGCGGCGUGCUUAACACAUGCAAGUCGAACGGUGAAAGAGAGCUUGCUCUCUGGAUCAGUGGCGAACGGGUGAGUAACACGUGAGCAAUCUGCCCUUGACUCUGGGAUAAGCGUUGGAAACGACGUCUAAUACCGGAUACGAGCUGCGAAGGCAUCUUCAGCAGCUGGAAAGAACUUCGGUCAAGGAUGAGCUCGCGGCCUAUCAGCUAGUUGGUGAGGUAAUGGCUCACCAAGGCGUCGACGGGUAGCCGGCCUGAGAGGGUGACCGGCCACACUGGGACUGAGACACGGCCCAGACUCCUACGGGAGGCAGCAGUGGGGAAUAUUGCACAAUGGGCGCAAGCCUGAUGCAGCAACGCCGCGUGAGGGACGACGGCCUUCGGGUUGUAAACCUCUUUUAGCAAGGAAGAAGCGAAAGUGACGGUACUUGCAGAAAAAGCGCCGGCUAACUACGUGCCAGCAGCCGCGGUAAUACGUAGGGCGCAAGCGUUAUCCGGAAUUAUUGGGCGUAAAGAGCUCGUAGGCGGUUUGUCGCGUCUGCUGUGAAAACCCGAGGCUCAACCUCGGGCCUGCAGUGGGUACGGGCAGACUAGAGUGCGGUAGGGGAGAUUGGAAUUCCUGGUGUAGCGGUGGAAUGCGCAGAUAUCAGGAGGAACACCGAUGACGAAGGCAGAUCUCUGGGCCGUAACUGACGCUGA
rnacentral:rRNA from 1 species